AUAAGGAACCCGGAUUACUAGAAUGGACAUGUUGAAAACAGAAAAGAGUUCCCUUUGAGCAGAACACCAUUGUCACGCCAUCUGUUGGAGAUUUUUUCUCGAUCGCUAAGGUUGAAAUUUCUCAGUGCAAGUUGCAGAUUUUAAUCUUUAAAAGUAAAGCUGCGGUUGUACUACUUAAAGGUAGUGUGAAUAACCGUCGGGUCAGACGUUGAGCGAGAAAAAAUAAAUUUAAAUAACUAAAAAAAAAGGUUAAUCAAUAAAAAAAGCUCCUAUUAAUUGAAUCAUUGAUAAGAGUAACCCAUUAAUAAAUUAUUAAUUAAUUAAAAUGAUUAAUUAAUUUAAAUUAAGGGAGAAUUCAGUAGCGAAGUAGUAAAAAGAGAUGAGUCAACUUAUCUCUGAGUCGAUUUUUUAGCAAUAUCUGCGAAUCUAUCAGAGGUAGCAAAAUUUUUGUCAUAACCUUUAUCGUAGUACUCAAUACGCCCUACAAAAAAGGUUCUGAUACAAAUUUCCGUAUCUCCCCUAAAUUUCAAGGUAUUCAUUAAAAACUCGUCAGCAGUCAGAAGUGAUUUAUCUCGUUUUACCACUUUGUUGCGGAAUUAACAGAUUAAUUUCAAUUAAUUAAUUUAAUUAUCAUUUUGACUGACAAUCAUUCAGCAGUGACAUAAUAAACAAUGAUAAGUGCAUUAUGAAAAAUAUUCAACACCUCCAAUGGCACAUCGUCUUGGACUCCAUGGAAUUGGCCAACUCCUGAAUUUCUAUUUUUUAAUUUAAUAAUCACAAGAUUUUACUUCACUUGUUAAUAUUUUUAAUGAUCAGUUUUCUAUCCUAAUCUCCUCCCGAUCAUCAAAAAAACAAGUUUCUCCCAAAAUUCUAAACUCCAGACUGUCGAUUCCGAACAAACAGCACCAGAAUGUCUGCCCCCACUAUCUCUCGUUUAAAAUUCACUGUCGACGUCCAUUUACUUUAGAUUUGACUUUAAAUAACUAAUCAAGUAGCAAGGCUCAAUAAAAGGGCUGUUCCACGUUUGACCCAGAAAUCGGAACUCUCAUAUCCACUAUCGAGAUCUACAGUAACAACGAAUGCCGACCGAUUGUUGGUUCCACCUCUCACUGGAUAAUAAUAACAAGGACAGUUAUACAGACCUGUUAACAAUAAUUGUUCAGUUGGGCAAAAAUGAAUAACUGGCAUUUCGUAGAUUAAUUGCAUGGGUGUUGGCUCUGCUAGUGUACCACGUUUUCUGUCCCAUCCUGCACCCUCGAGAAAGAUCGAUCGAAUAAAGAC